UAGGGAAUCUUCCGCAAUGGACGAAAGUCUGACGGAGCAACGCCGCGUGAGUGAAGAAGGAUUUCGGUUCGUAAAACUCUGUUGUUAGGGAAGAAAAAAUGUAUAGUAACUAUAUACAAAAGAGACGGUACCUAACCAGAAAGCCACGGCUAACUACGUGCCAGCAGCCGCGGUAAUACGUAGGUGGCAAGCGUUGUCCGGAAUUAUUUGGCGUAAAGCGCGCGCAGGUGGUUUAGAAAGUCUGAUGUGAAAGCCCACGGCUCAACCGUGGAGGGUCAUUGGAAACUAAUAAACUUGAGUGCAGGAGAGAAAAGUGGAAUUCCUAGUGUAGCGGUGAAAUGCGUAGAGAUUAGGAGGAACACCGGUGGCGAAAGCGGCUUUUUGGCCUGCAACUGACACUGAGGCGCGAAAGCGUGGGGAGCAAACAGG
rnacentral:rRNA from 1 species